UGACUUCCAAGUUAAAUAUUGGCCUCUAGU
rnacentral:piRNA from 1 species